rnacentral:pre_miRNA from 1 species
UCGGCCGGUGGAACUCAAACAGUGGCGGCACUUUGCUCUCAGCACAGAAAGUGCCCUCACAGUUUGAGUCCCACAGGCCGA